AAACCUUCAACAACGCUUCCUCUGGGGUGUAAGCUCUUCUUACUGGCUCACCCUGUGGAGGGAGUGUACUUUCACCUUCAAUAAACCUUUGAUCUUGCUGCUCCUUUUGCGUGUCCUGCUCAAUUCUUUGUUCAAGACACUAAGAACUUGGAUAAGACCCUUCAUCGAGUAACAAUUUUGUAUUAUUUAACCCAAACUUCUGCCACAUGAGGAAGUAAGAAAAAUCUUUCCCUCACUGGCAUCUGCUUUUGUCUGAAACUUCUCAUCCAAACAGCUUAGACUUUCUUGGUAUUCUGGCAUAAAUACUCUGAAGAACCCAUUAGAAGACUUGAAAGAGUACAGAAAGAGGAAAUCUCAAGAAUAGGUAAGAUUCUGCUUUGUGAGAAAGGGAAGUCGUGUGUCUGCUCUCCGAAACUCUGUUCUCAGUAAAAGCACCAUCAGGUCAAGAAAACAUGUACGUCAAUCAGUUCCUCUUUGCUUAAAUGAAUUCCGCAUGAAUUGGUCAUUUGCAACCAAGAGUUCUGACAAAUACAUUGCACAAGAAAAGAGAAAUCAUGAAUCAUGAAAAAUGGAUCUUAAUUCCUUUAAGAUGAUGGAGCCAGCAGCAAAUCACAUCUCUGUGGUGGGAACAGAGACAUCUAGAGAACAACUUCUUCGUGAGAAGAAAGAGAAGAGCUCUGGGAAUCAAGAAAGAACCAGUAGGAAAGCUAAAAAUCACAGAGAACAGAAGACAACCAGAGAAAGGAAUGAAGCAGUGUGGAAAGCUAACUCUGACUCCAGGGUAGAGGGGAUCUCACCCCCAAACACAAGAUACCUUGAAGUCUGCCUUGAAGAGGGAAGAAACAAAGACAAGAGCUUGGUGGAUAGAAUAGACAUCAGAGAUGAGAAACCAGGCGUUAUAACACUGUACAAUCCAACGUGUCUCCCAUAUGUGUGGAAGAAUGAGAAGCAAGAAAAACCAGUUUCAAUCUAUAUUGUGUCCAGUGGGCAGGGAGCAUAUUUGGCACUAGGCUUCCUGCUAGAGAUUUCAGAUAUUGCCAGGCUGAAACAGUUCAUGCCUCUGGUUGUUGGGACAUAAACAGACAACUUACCAAGAUUUCCUCCCAGAGACAAAGUGGCUUCUCUUUGGAGAAGAUGUUCUGCUCCCUGAGUGUGAUGUGGUGGAAGGGAUUGAAAUCCAAGCAUAUGGGCUGGGAAAUGGUCCACCAAGAAUUUGGGAUCCAAGGAAGGAAUAAGCUCUGCUGACAGAGUCAUCCCAUGCCAAGGACAAAAAACCUAUGGAUGCCAAAUGGGACACAGAGUGAACAGCCUCUUCCAGGGAUACCUGAGAAAGCAGAAGACUGACCUUAGCAGUUGUUGUAUUACCUCCUCACAGAGGGGUCUGGACAAAGCCGUUGUCAAAGCAUGGGUUUCGCUCCGAUGUUGUUCUGCUUGCUCCAUCUGGGACUCAGAUGCAUUCUCCUUUACCACUGAAUUCCUCAACUUGGACCACACCACAUCUGCUACCUGGAAAGUCUGACAAACAGCCUGGAAUAUCUGCCUACGAGCAAAUAUUUAUACUGUUGGAGUUACAUGUAUCAUUUAGCCUAUCUUACCUCAGAGUGUUUUUGCUUUACACUGAGUCAGAUACAGAACUCAAAACUUCUUAGUUUUGUGAAUGUUGAAUAGUAAAUUUUUUGUUUUGGUCAGCCUAUCCUGUCUUCAGAGGUGCUGAUUUCAUCAAUUACAAGCAAUAAUUAUUCAACAUUCACAAAACUAAACUAAAAUAAAUCAUAUAUAUGAUAUAUAUUAUAUAAUAUAUAGUAUAU